GACGAACGCUGGCGGCGUGCUUAACACAUGCAAGUCGAGCGGUAAGGCCCUUUCGGGGGUACGACGAGCGGCGAACGGGUGAGUAACACGUGGGUGACCUGCCCUCAGCUCUGGGAUAAGCCUGGGAAACCGGGUCUAAUACUGGAUAUGACUCCAUGACGCAUGUUGUGGGGUGGAAAGCCUUGUGCGGCUGAGGAUGGGCCCGCGGCCUAUCAGCUUGUUGGUGGGGUGANGGCCUACCAAGGCGACGACGGGUAGCCGGCCUGAGAGGGCGACCGGCCACACUGGGACUGAGACACGGCCCAGACUCCUACGGGAGGCAGCAGUGGGGAAUCUUGCGCAAUGGGCGAAAGCCUGACGCAGCGACGCCGCGUGAGGGAUGACGGCCUGUGUAACU
rnacentral:rRNA from 1 species